CCUACGGGCGGCAGCAGUGGGGAAUAUUGCACAAUGGGGGCAACCCUGAUCCAGCCAUGCCGCGUGUGUGAAGAAGGCCCUCGGGUUGUAAAGCACUUUCAGUGAGGAAGAACGCCUGGUGGUUAAUACCCAUCAGGAAAGACAUCACUCACAGAAGAAGCACCGGCUAACUCCGUGCCAGCAGCCGCGGUAAUACGGAGGGUGCGAGCGUUAAUCGGAAUUACUGGGCGUAAAGCGCGCGUAGGUGGCUUGAUAAGCCGGUUGUGAAAGCCCCGGGCUCAACCUGGGAACGGCAUCCGGAACUGUCAAGCUAGAGUGCAGGAGAGGAAGGUAGAAUUCCCGGUGUAGCGGUGAAAUGCGUAGAGAUCGGGAGGAAUACCAGUGGCGAAGGCGGCCUUCUGGACUGACACUGACACUGAGGUGCGAAAGCGUGGGUAGCAAACAGGAUUAGAUACCCCUGUAGUC
rnacentral:rRNA from 1 species